AUUACAAAUCUAUGGCCACCCUCGCACCAGGCCCAAGCGCCAUGCUCCCAUAAUCUUUUCCGUUCAUUAUUGGAUCGACGAUCGGAGACUUGUCUUCUCCCCUUACCCACGGCGACAGAACGUAUCCGCGGCGGAGGCCAUGGCGUGUGAAUGGCCAACCAACACCGAAAGCCGCAAUCCCGAGUCUAGAUAGUGCUAAGUGAUGAGGGCGGAAUAUCAAACACAAUAGAGGAGGAAUUACCUACAGUGGUAUAGCAGGGACCCCGGUCCAUGGUGCUCCGAGGCUCCACCGAGGUGGUCGACCUCCGACGACGCAUUCCAGACACCCUAGACGAUCUCCAACCCCGGUGACUCCACUGUUACUAUCUAGAUAUCCCGAUAAAAUUCCCUGGUACCCAUACGACGACACAACGGCGACGAAUUGAUGGUAUGGCCACGACGGCGAGUAUGACCCAUGCGGGUGACGAUUGCUAAAUUCCGGUUAUCCUGUUGCAAGGAGGUGUCUGGGUUCAGAUUAGCGGGCUCAAGGGAGGGAGGUCGCCAUCCCUGUUUAUACCCCCCAUGGACCGAUCCACGGCCGCAUCCUC
rnacentral:lncRNA from 7 species